GCCCGGUUGGCUCAGUCGGUAGAGCGUGUGACUCUUAAGCAUCUCUCUCGGGGGGUUGUGAAGGAAUCUCAAGGUCGCGAGUUCGAGCCUCGCAUCGGGCU